rnacentral:rRNA from 1 species
AUACGGAGGAUCCGAGCGUUAUCCGGAUUUAUUGGGUUUAAAGGGUGCGCAGGCGGCCAUUUAAGUCAGCGGUUAAAUCGUGGGGCUCAACCCCAUUCUGCCGUUGAUACUGGGUGGCUUGAUUGCGGUCGAGGUUGGCGGAAUUCGUUGUGUAGCGGUGAAAUGCAUAGAUAUGACGAAGAACACCGAUUGCGUAGGCAGCUGACCAGACCGCAAAUGACGCUCAUGCACGAAAGUGCGGGGAUCGAACAGGAUUAGAUACCCUGGUAGUCCGCACAGUAAACGAUGAAUACUUAUUUUCGGCGAUAUAAUGUCGGAGGCAAAGCGAAAGCGAUAAGUAUUCCACCUGGGGAGUACGCCGGCAACGGUGAAACUCAAAUGAAUUGGCGGGG